CGAUACUUGGUGUGAAUUGCAGAAUUCAGUGAAUCAUCGAGUCUUUGAACGCACAUUGCGCCCCCUGGUAUUCCGGGGGGCAUGCCUGUCCGAGCGUCAUUGCUGCCCUCAAGCCCGGCUUGUGUGUUGGGUCGCCGUCCCCCUCUCCGGGGGGACGGGCCCGAAAGGCAGCGGCGGCACCGCGUCCGAUCCUCGAGCGUAUGGGGYUUUGUCACAUGCUCUGUAGGAUUGGCCGGCGCCUGCCGACGUUUUCCAAMCAUUCUUUCCAGGUUGACCUCGGAUCAGGUAGGGAUACCMSCGCUGAACUUAAGCAUAUCAAUA
rnacentral:rRNA from 1 species